rnacentral:rRNA from 1 species
GACGAACGCUGGCGGCGUGCUUAACACAUGCAAGUCGAACGGACCUGUCUUCUUUUUUGGGGGGUGGGUUGAGUGGCGAACGGGUGAGUAUCACGUGAGUAACCUGCCCUUCGGUCCUGGAUAACCGCUUGAAAGGGCGGCUAAUACGGGGUGGUCCGGUUGGUCCGCAUGGGCGGGUCGGGAUAGAUUCACUGUUUUUGGUGUUUCGGCGGGGGAUGGGCUCGCGGCCUAUCAGCUUGUUGGUGGGGUGAUGGCUUGCCAGGGCGGUGACGGGUAGCCGGUCUGAGGGUGGGCGGGGCGACAGUGGGACUGGGCACCUGCGGAGACUGCUGCGGGCGGCAGCAGUGGGGGGUACUGCACAAGGGGAGGAUGCCCGAUGGAGGGACGCCGGGUGAGGGAUGGAGGCCUUCGGGUUGUCAACCUCUGUGUUCGGUGGCGAAGGCGCUGGUGGUGUGGUGGGGUUGACGGUAGCCGGUAAUGAAGCGCCGGCUAACUACGUG